GAUGAACGCUGACAGAAUGCUUAACACAUGCCAGUCCACUUGAAUUUGGGUUUUUAACUUCGGUUUGGGUGGCGGACGGGUGAGUAACGCGUAAAGAACUUGCCUCACAGCUAGGGACAACAUUUGGAAACGAAUGCUAAUACCUAAUAUUAUGAUAAUAGGGCAUCCUAUAAUUAUGAAAGCUAUAAGCGCUGUGAGAGAGCUUUGCGUCCCAUUAGCUAGUUGGAGAGGUAACGGCUCACCAAGGCGAUGAUGGGUAGCCGGCCUGAGAGGGUGAUCGGCCACAAGGGGACUGAGACACGGCCCUUACUCCUACGGGAGGCAGCAGUGGGGAAUAUUGGACAAUGGACCGAGAGUCUGAUCCAGCAAUUCUGUGUGCACGAUGAAGUUUUUCGGAAUGUAAAGUGCUUUCAGUUGGGAAGAAACAAAUGACGGUACCAACAGAAGAAGUGACGGCUAAAUACGUG
rnacentral:rRNA from 1 species